rnacentral:misc_RNA from 1 species
AUUACCGAGUUUACAACUCCCAAACCCCUGUGAACAUACCUUAUUGUUGCCUCGGCGGAUCAGCCCGCUCCCGGUAAAACGGGACGGCCCGCCAGAGGACCCAAACUCUAUUGUUUUUAGUGUAACUUCUGAGUAAAACAAACAAAUAAAUCAAAACUUUCAACAACGGAUCUCUUGGUUCUGGCAUCGAUGAAGAACGCAGCAAAAUGCGAUAAGUAAUGUGAAUUGCAGAAUUCAGUGAAUCAUCGAAUCUUUGAACGCACAUUGCGCCCGCCAGUAUUCUGGCGGGCAUGCCUGUUCGAGCGUCAUUUCAACCCUCAAACCCCCGGGUUUGGUGUUGGGGAUCGGCGAGUGUCCUUCGCGGACCAGCCGGCCCCGAAAUCUAGUGGCGGUCUCGCUGCAGCUUCCAUUGCGUAGUAGCUAACACCUCGCAAUCGGGACGCGGCGCGGCCAUGCCGUUAAACACCCAACUUCUGAAUGUUGACCUCGGAUCAGGUAGGAAUACCCGCUGAACUUAAGCAUAUCAAUAAGCGGAGGAAAAGAAACCAACAGGGAUUGCCCUAGUAACGGCGAGUGAAGCGGCAACAGCUCAAAUUUGAAAUCUGGCUCUCGGGCCCGAGUUGUAAUUUGUAGAGGAUGCUUUUGAUGCGGUGCCUUCCGAGUUCCCUGGAACGGGACGCCAUAGAGGGUGAGAGCCCCGUCUGGUUGGAUGCCAAAUCUCUGUAAAGCUCCUUCAACGAGUCGAGUAGUUUGGGAAUGCUGCUCUAAAUGGGAGGUAUAUGUCUUCUAAAGCUAAAUAUUGGCCAGAGACCGAUAGCGCACAAGUAGAGUGAUCGAAAGAUGAAAAGCACUUUGAAAAGAGAGUUAAAAAGUACGUGAAAUUGUUGAAAGGGAAGCGUUUAUGACCAGACUUGGACUUGGUUAAUCAUCUGGGGUUCUCCCCAGUGCACUUUUCCAGUUCAGGCCAGCAUCAGUUUUCCCCGGGGGAUAAAGGCAGUGGGAAUGUGGCUCCCUUCGGGGAGUGUUAUAGCCCAUUGUGUAAUACCCUGGGGGAGACUGAGGUUCGCGCAUCUGCAAGGAUGCUGGCGUAAUGGUCAUCAAUGACCCGUCUUGAAACACGGACCAAGGAGUCGUCUUCGUAUGCGAGUGUUCGGGUGUCAAACCCCUACGCGUAAUUAAAGUGAACGCAGGUGAGAGCUUCGGCGCAUCAUCGACCGAUCCUGAUGUUCUCGGAUGGAUUUGAGUAAGAGCAUACGGGGCCGGACCCGAAAGAAGGUGAAACUAUGCCUGUAUAGGGUGAAGCCAGAGGAAACUCUGGUGGAGGCUCGCAGCGGUUUCUGACGUGCAAAU